rnacentral:rRNA from 1 species
AAGGGAAACCGAGUCUGAAAAGGGCGGCAAAGUUGCGUGCAAUAGACCCGAAACCAGGUGACCUACCCAUGGUCAGGGUGAAGUGGUGGUAAGACACCAUGGAGGCCCGAACUCACGUCUGUUGAAAAAGGCGGAGAUGAACUGUGGGUAGCGGAGAAAUUCCAAUCGAACUUGGAUAUAGCUGGUUCUCCUCGAAAUAGCUUUAGGGCUAGCCUUGAGAUAGAUCCCUGGAGGUAGAGCGCUGAAUGGGCUAGGGGGCCUCAAAGCUUACUGAACCCUAUCAAACUGCGAAUGCCAGAGGAUUGAUGCUCAGGAGUCAGACUACGGGAGAUAAGUUCCGUGGUCAAAAGGGAAACAGCCCAGACCAACAGCAAAGGUCCCGAAGUAUAGGUUAAGUGGAAAAGGAUGUGGAGUUGCACAGACAACCAGGAUGUUGGCUUAGAAGCAGCCAUACAUUCAAAGAGUGCGUAAUAGCUCACUGGUCGAGUGAUUCUGCGCCGAAGAUUACCGGGGCUAAAACCUAACACCGAAGCUUUGGAAUGCCGAAAGGCAUUGGUAGAGGAGCAAUGCAUGCGGGAAGAAGCAUGACCGGAAGGCAAUGUGGACUGCAUGGAAGAGAGAAUGCCGGUAUGAGUAGCGAGAGCUUGGUGAGAAUCCAAGCCGUCGAAAGCCUAAGGUUUCCUGGGGAAGGUUCGUCCGCCCAGGGUAAGUCAGGGCCUAAGCCGAGGACGAAAGUCGUAGGCGAUGGACAACUGGUUGAGAUUCCAGUACCACCUGGAUGCGCAUGACUGAAGCAGGGACGCAGAAGGAUAGCCGGACCCGGUUGAUGGUAGAGCCGGGGCAAGCACAGAGUCUGGCAGGUAGUGAAGUACGCCUGCUAAGGAUGGUGUGUGACGCGGAGCGAAAAAAAGUAGCGAAGCCGGGGAUUUCACGCUGACAAGAAAAACUGCUAGGGAGCAUCAUGGUGCCUGUACCGCAAACCGACACAGGUAGGCGAGGAGAGAAUCCUAAGACGAACGGGAGAACCCUUGUUAAGGAACUCGGCAAAAUGACCCCGUAACUUCGGGAGAAGGGGUGCCUCCGAGAGGAGGCCGCAGAAAAAAGGUAGAAGCGACUGUUUACCAAAAACACAGGUCUAUGCGAAAUCGAGAGAUGACGUAUAUGGGCUGACGCCUGCCCGGUGCAGGAAGGUUAAGGGGACGUGUCAGCGCAACCGAAGCACGGAACCGAAGCCCCUGUAAACGGCGGCCGUAACUAUAACGGUCCUAAGGUAGCGAAAUUCCUUGUCGGAUAAGUUCCGACCCGCACGAAUGGCGUAACGACUUGUACACUGUCUCAACAAGGGACCCGGCGAAAUUGUAGUAUGUGUGAAGAUGCACAUUACCCGCAACUGGACGGAAAGACCCCGUAGAGCUUUACUGUAGCUUAAUAUUGAAUUUCGGUAUUGUAUGUACAGGAUAGGUGGGAGACGGAGAAGCCAGGACGUCAGUCUUGGUGGAGUCAACCUUGGGAUACCACUCUUAUGAUACUGAAAUUCUAACCAAGUGCCAUGAACUGGGCUUGGAACAGUGUCAGGUGGGCAGUUUGACUGGGGCGGUCGCCUCCC